UGGGUAGCUGACAGGACAGGAAAAAGCCAGUGAAAUCUUUGAAUUUGUGUAGCACAAAACCAGUGACGUGUUGUAAACUGGUGAUAGGAAAAGCAAUUUAACACAAAAGCAAUUUUGACUGAAUUGGUCUUCCAGUGGUGCCUAUGGGAAGAGUCCCAGAGCAGGGCAUCAUGGGAGACGCUGUCUGGCACCAGUUCUCCUGGUCCACCUACCGGCUGUGAGGUUUAAACAUGGCGGCUCCUGUUUUCUUCCCCGCCCUAGUGCCAAACAGCAGUCCCACAGGCAUCCUUCCCGGAAAUGGUUAGGGUUAAUGGAACGAUUGUUACCACGAGGUGGGCUGCGGUUUACAAGUGUAGUAUCCCAGAGGCUGUUGAUGUCCUUCUUUGCAGCCUGUCUAUAAUCCAAAUAAAUUGCACGACGGUGGAUGGCGCUGACGGGCUUCAACUUCUUUCUCCUACGGGUGAAUAACUAUGUUGAAGGGCUCUCAUCUAGAAGAAUGGGUCCAUGGGGUGCUGAGAAAGAUCAAGGAGAAAAACAACUAGGAAACAAAAUUCUCUUCAUCUUGGCAACCAUUCAUGACCACAGCUUGAAAGAUGACAUUCAGGACAAUGGUUUGGAGCUCCUGAAGUGCCAUCCUGUGGGUCUUUGCUGAAGUCUCCAGCUUUCGGGACCAGGCUGGCAUGAGACAAAUGGACUAAAUUUGCCAGCUCACCUAGUUGUCCUUGAGGCCGGAGUCAGGACAGAGGUCAUUCAAGCCUGCUGACCACGUGUCCACCUGUACUCCUGUGGUGAUGGCGGGUAUUGGAGCCAGCACCACCAUUGGCAAGAUGCAUCACCAUCUUUGUUCAUUCACUGGAACAUGUUUAAUGCCCACAAUGUACCCAGCUGAGUAGGAUCUGAGAGAAGCCUCCAUUUCUUCUCUCAGAGUCACAGGCAAGUGGGGAGCACAGACAAGUGGGCUUCAUAGUAUGGUGUGAUGAAGACCAGGCAGGGCACCAGAGAGGUGCAGGGGAAGGGCGCUCAGCCCAGCCCGGCCUAGGGAUGAUGCUCAAAUUAUGGCUUUUAGGACCAUUAUGAGUGGAACAGUGUUCCCUCCAAGAAAGAUAUGUGAGAAUCCUGAGCCCCAGUACCUCAGAAUGUGCCAUUAUUUGGAGUUAGGUUCUUUACAGGGAUGAUCAAGUUAAAAUGAAGUCAUUAAAGUGGGCUCCAACCUGAUAUGACUGGUGUCCUUAUAAAAAAGGGAAGGUGUGGGCACAGGAACAACCCCGCGCACAGGGGGAGUGCCAGGUGAUGAUUGGAGUUAUGCCACCACAAACCAGGGACCCACCAGAUUUGGCUAGGAGAGAGGCCCUCACACCUUCGGAGGGAGCAUAGCCCUGGAGAGCAUCUUGAUUUCAGACUUCUGGUCUCCAGAACUGAGACCAUACAUUUCUGUUGCUUUAAUACACCCAAUUUGAGGUAUGUUGUUAGGAAGUAGCUAGGAAAUGAAUACAAGGACUCAGGGGCUAUCCAGAUGGAGAAAGAGGGCCAGACACUCCCAACCCCGAUGUGGAGAUGGAGACCCUGGCGCACUUGUUGGUAUAACUGAAAAACUGGAACAGGCGGGGGGGCCACGGUAGUAGUUGAGGCUGAAGGGGCUGGAGAGGAGGGAGCCCCUUUCCUUCUGCUAUGGUUUAAAUGUUUGUGUCCUCUCCAAAAUUCCUGUUGAAACUUAAUUCCCAAUGCAAUUGGGUUGCGAGGUGAGGUCUUUAGGAGAUGAGUAGGCCAUGGGGGCUUGGCCCUUAUGAAUGAAUUAAUGCCUUAUAAAAGGGCUUGAAGGGGCAACUUCAUCCUUUCUGUCCCAUCUGCUAUGUGAGGACACAAGCACUCCUCCCCUCUGGAGGAUGCAGCAACAAGACACCAACUUGGAAGCAGAGAGCAGCCCUCCCCAGACACACAUGGAAUCUACCAGUGCCCAGGUCCUGGGCUUUCCAGCCUCCGGAACUGUGAGAAAUAAAAGUUUAUGUUCUUUAUAAGUUUCUGAAUCUCAGGUAUUUUGUUAUUGCUGCAGGAAAUGACUAGGACACUCUUUCUCUACCCCUGGAUGACCCCUGAGUCAGGUAUUAGUUUCCUAGUUGCUGCUAUAACAAAGGUUGGAGAGGAGGUUGUUGCUUAAUCAUGAAGACCUCGGCCUGAUGCCAUACUAAGGAAUGUGGGUUUUAUUCUAAGAGCGAUGCCAGUACAAAGGAACAUCAGUACAGCCCACUUGCCCCCUUGGCAGCCUAGCAGAGACUGCUGCAAGGGGAGGAGCUCAGGGAGGGAGGCAUCGAUGUUCUGCACAGGCUACCACGCUACUCAGUCCGGGCUCAAGAAGCCCCAGAAUCAGGGCUGUGGCUAAGGAAUAGGGAGACGGGCCAGGAGGAGGCGCUGUUGAGGAGAGGGUGAUGAGGGUGGGCAGGGGAGCUGAAUGGCCUGGGGAACUGUAAUAGCUGAAUCCUGGCAGUGUUCACUGCAAAAGGGAAGGCAGGAAGGGGAGUUAGAGAAGGACGUGUGGUGUUUGGAACCUGCUGCAUUUGAGGAACUGGUGAAACCUCUCCAUAGAGAUAUCCUGCAGGGACCUGGAUCCAUGAGAGGGACUUAGGGGACUUACUCAGACUCCUCGCUGAUGUGGACAGAGUCACCUGUGCAAAGUGUGGAGCAAAGACAGGGCUGAGAGAGACCUGGCUGUGUCGCCACCUUCCCAUGGCUGAGGCCCUGAUAGGGAUCCAGGGGUCACACCAGAUGGACCACCCCUGGCUGCCCAGUCCCACUGACCCAGGGCUGAGCUGAGAGAUGGACAUGUUUGUUCAUGGGGCAGCAUUUGGGGAGUCCACCCUGGAGAUCUGAGCUGCUUUGCCAGUCUGAGUGGCUCCUAAUCCAAGUUUUCUAUUUUUCUGAUUUUACUGAUCUUCACGUGUCAUCACUGUGAUUAUGAGAUGUCAGCAUGUGUUGGUGGAAAGACUCCUGGGUUUUGAAUGCAGAUCCGUCACAUGGGUCUGAUCAGCUGUGAAUGGUGCAGGCAGCUUAAUUUCACCCUGUCUCCCCAUGCCUCAGUUUCCUUCCUUUCUUCCCAGCCACAGUAACCAUCGAAUCAGAUUGCAGAGGGAUUUGGCCACACCGGAAAAUGCUUUGACCUCUCUGAAGGAGAAGUGCCUCACAACUGUACAUUUCAUUAUAUUAUUAGUGUUAUUAAUAAACUCUUCCCUGCUGG
ensembl:lincRNA